rnacentral:rRNA from 1 species
CCUACGGGUGGCAGCAGUGAGGAAUAUUGGUCAAUGGACGCAAGCCUGAACCAGCCAUGUCGCGUGCAGGAAGACGGCCCUAUGAGUUGUAAACUUCUUUUGUACGAGGGUAAACGCAGAUACGAGUAUCUGUCUGAAAGUAUCGUACGAAUAAGGAUCGGCUAACUCCGUGCCAGCAGCCGCGGGAAAACGGAGGAUUCAAGCGUUAUCCGGAUUUAUUGGGUUUAAAGGGUGCGUAGGCGGUCGGAUAAGUUAGGGGGUAAAUUCCGGGGCUCAACUUCGGAAUUGCCUCUGAUACUGUCGGGCUAGAGAGUAGUUGCGGUAGGCGGAAUGUAUGGUGUAGCGGUGAAAUGCUUAGAGAUCAUACAGAACACCGAUUGCGAAGGCAGCUUACCAGGCUACUUCUGACGUUGAAGCACGAAAGCGUGGGGAGCAAACAGGAUUAGAUACCCCGGUAGUC